rnacentral:sRNA from 1 species
GCGUGAUUUGAUACGUGAAAAUUCUCGAGCUAAUUUCGUCUGGAGCUGUAAUAAAACUCGCUUAUGGAGUCGAACCUAUCGGGAGUAUCAAUUGACAUGUAAAAAAUUGCCUUUUUACGUCAAGGUGGUUGCCAAAUUUUAGUCGGCUGUGAAAUACACAAAUUUUAGCGUUCGAUUGAUUGGGCAGGCUUUCAGGUCUCCCAUGAGACAUGCCUCCCAGGUCAAGAAAACAUUCAAGCCCAUUCAUAUACAGAUAACCUUGAUAAUUGCAUUCAAUGGAUAUACCUUUAACCAAAUCUAACUUUAUGUUUUAACCAAAAGACAAUGGUUAAUCAGAAUUAUUACGAAUCUGGGUCGGCUCUGAAAGAUUUAAAGGCUUGCCCGAAUUCUAAAAGCAAAAUCUGCUAAGCUAAAUCUGGA